rnacentral:rRNA from 1 species
UACGGAGGAUGCAAGCGUUAUCCGGAUUUAUUGGGUUUAAAGGGUGCGCAGGUUGUUUGGUAAGUCAGUGGUGAAAGUCUGUCGCUUAACGACAGGAUUGCCAUUGAUACUGUUAAACUUGAGUAUGGGUGAGGUAUUCGGAAUGUGUAGUGUAGCGGUGAAAUGCAUAGAUAUUACACAGAACGCCGAUUGCGGAGGCAGGAUACUAGGCCAUUACUGACGCUGAGGCACGAAAGCGUGGGGAUCAAACAGGAUUAGAUA